AUAGUCUGGGGAGACACCAUGAUCAUGAAGGUGGUUUUCCCAGGGUGAGGCUCAUCCAUUGCACUUCGGGUGUGCUGACCCUUGCAAUUUCACCAUAUGCGUGAAACUCGACUGCAUAAUUUGUGGUAGGAUUUCCCAUAGUCUGGGAAACAUACC